GGCCGCGAGCGCAGAGGCGUAGGGUACGCCGGAGCCCCGGGCGCUGGAGGAGCUCGUGGUGGAACGGGGUCCAUCCCCACCUGCUAAUUCUAAGGCAAACCCUGGGAAGUUUUCGGCUUUUUUUCUUUUUCUCUUUUUUUCUUUUUCUAUUCGUUUUUGUUUGUUUUGUGACCAGAUCAUUCAUGAAAGCGCGCACUAUGCCCGGGGAGGAGAGGGGAGAAGUUUGGAAGUCCCAAACUAGAGGACGAAGGAGUGGGCGGAGAUUUUGGAAUUAUUUGCAUUAUAAAAGUUUCAGGUUUUGGAGCAUUUCGGAUUUUAGAUUUUCAGAUUUGAGAUCCUCAACUUGUAGAAGUGUGUGAAACCACAGAUGCUGAGAGAUUGCACAGCAGAGGAAUCGUCAUUCUGGUGGGAUCAGGACAAGCUUCCUGAAAUGGGUGUAUUUCAAUUUUGUUUCAACAGAGAUGAAAGCGGAGCUUGAGAGAGAAGAACUUAAGCAGUUUAUAUGGGGGCAAUGGCACAGACAAGGGCAUGGAGCUAAACCCGUGGGCAGAUGAGCUUGGCUAAUGGACAGGUUCUUGGCUGGGGAAUGAUGAGACCUCAGCUAGGAAAAGUGAGGGUGACAGAAGUUGAUUAAAUGCCCUCAAAUGCGAGAAUGGGGAAUUUAGGCAGCUUUUAUAGGUGUUUGAGCAUGAGAGAGAUGUAUUGAAAAUAUCCUGGCCGGGCGCGGUGUCUCACACCUGUAAUCCCAGCACUUUGGGAGGCCAAGGCAGGUGGAUCACGAGGUCAGGAGAUCAAGACCAUCCUGGCUAACAUGGUGAAACCCCGUCUCCACUAAAAAUACAAAAAAUUCUCCGGGCGUGGUGGUGGGCGCCUGUAGUCCCAGCUACUCUGGAGGCUGAGGCAGGAGAAUGGCGUGAGCCCGGGAGGUGGAGCUUGCAGU
rnacentral:lncRNA from 10 species